rnacentral:lncRNA from 1 species
GCUGGGCGGGCCGGGCUGGGCGGCCCCGGCGGCGGGGGCGGUCCGCUCCCGGAGGCCGCGCCUCCUUUGCACCCUCCUUCCUGAAGAUGGCCGCGCAGGCCAGGGCUCCGGCACCCGGCUGCGGACCAGAUCCCCUGGGCUGCACCCGGCCUUGCGCCCCUGGUCCGCGCUCGCAGGCUCGGAAACGGGCGGUCCUCCCGAGGCUGAAAGGGAGAAGAGGGUAGUGAUUAUGAGGUUGGACCCCGGAGUUAGACAGUCUGGGUGCAAAUGCUGUAUGACCUUGGACAAAGCAUGGCACCCGAGUUUUCUCACCAACAAAAUGAGGGGAAAAAAGGAAAAUGAAGUCCUAUUAAUAUGUUUAUGAUAGGAAGAAUAAUUAGAAAAGUAGAAUAAAAAAACUGAAGCAUGGUGAAAUCA